GAUAACUGGCGUGUGGCGGCCAAGCCUUCAUAGCGACGCCGCUUUUUGAUGUCUUCGAUGUCGGCUCUUCCUAUCAUUGUGAAGCGUUGGAUUGUUCACCCACUAAUGGGGAACGUGAGCUGGGGUUUGACCGUCGUGAGACAGGUU
rnacentral:ncRNA from 1 species